UUAUACGAGAGUUUGAUCCUGGCUCAGGAUGAACGCUGGCGGCGUGCUUAACACAUGCAAGUCGAGCGAAGCACUUAGGAAAGAUUCUUCGGAUGAUUUCCUA
rnacentral:rRNA from 1 species